rnacentral:rRNA from 1 species
UACGUAGGGUGCAAGCGUUAAUCGGAAUUACUGGGCGUAAAGCGUGCGCAGGCGGUUGUGCAAGACAGAUGUGAAAUCCCCGGGCUCAACCUGGGAACUGCAUUUGUGACUGCACGGCUGGAGUGCGGCAGAGGGGGAUGGAAUUCCGCGUGUAGCAGUGGAAUGCGUAGAUAUGCGGAGGAACACCGAUGGCGAAGGCAAUCCCCUGGGCCUGCACUGACGCUCAUGCACGAAAGCGUGGGGAGCAAACAGG